GACGAACGCUGGCGGCAUGCCUAACACAUGCAAGUCGAACGGAGAUUACUUCGGUAAUCUUAGUGGCGAACGGGUGAGUAACGCGUGGGCAACCUGCCCUCUAGAUGGGGACAACAUCCCGAAAGGGGUGCUAAUACCGAAUGUGACAGCAAUCUCGCAUGAGGAUGCUGUGAAAGAUGGCCUCUAUUUAUAAGCUAUCGCUAGAGGAUGGGCCUGCGUCUGAUUAGCUAGUUGGUGGGGUAACGGCCUACCAAGGCGAUGAUCAGUAGCCGGUCUGAGAGGAUGAACGGCCACAUUGGGACGGAGACACGGCCCAGACUCCUACGGGAGGCAGCAGUGGGGAAUCUUCCGCAAUGGGCGAAAGCCUGACGGAGCAAUGCCGCGUGAGUGAUGAAGGAAUUCGUUCCGUAAAGCUCUUUUGUUUAUGACGAAUGUGCAGAUUGUGAACAAUGAUUUGUAAUGACGGUAGUAAACGAAUAAGCCACGGCUAACUACGUGCCAGCCGCCGCGGUAACAC
rnacentral:rRNA from 1 species